rnacentral:rRNA from 1 species
GAUUAACGCUGGCGGCGUGCAUAACACAUGCAAUUCGAACGAUGAAACUUUAAUGAACCCUUCGGGGAGAAUUAAAGCGGAUUAGUGGCGAACGGGUGAGUAACGCGUGAGUAACCUGCCUUACACAAGGGGAUAGCCUUUGGAAACGAAGAAUAAUACCCUAUAAAACCAUAAAAGCACAUGCAAUUAUGGUCAAAGUAUUAGCGGUGUAAGAUGGACUUGCGUCUGAUUAGCUAGUUGGUGAGAUAAAAGCCCACCAAGGCAACGAUCAGUAGCCGGCUUGAGAGAGUGUACGGCCACAUUGGGACUGAGACACGGCCCAGACUCCUACGGGAGGCAGCAGUGGGGAAUUUUGCACAAUGGGGGAAACCCUGAUGCAGCGACGCCGCGUGAUUUAGAAGGCCUUCGGGUUGUAAAAAUCUUUUGUAUAGGAAGAAAAUGACAGUACUAUACGAAUAAGGUCCGGCUAAUUACGUGCCAGCAGCCGCGGUAAUACGUAAGGACCGAGCGUUGUCCGGAAUCAUUGGGCGUAAAGGGCUCGUAGGUGGUUUGUCGCGUCGUCUGUGAAAUUCCGGGGCUUAACUCCGGGCGUGCAGGCGAUACGGGCAUAACUUGAGUACUGUAGGGGUAACUGGAAUUCCUGGUGUAGCGGUGAAAUGCGCAGAUAUCAGGAGGAAUACCGGUGGCGAAGGCGACUUUCUGGCCAUUUUCUGACGCUGAGGUACGAAAGCGUGGGUAGCAAACAGGAUUAGAUACCCUGGUAGUCCACGCCGUAAACGAUGAGUGUUAGGUGUCUGGAGUCAAAUCUGGGUGCCGCAGCAAACGCAUUAAACACUCCGCCUGGGGAGUACGCACGCAAGUGUGAAACUCAAAGGAAUUGACGGGGACCCGCACAAGCAGCGGAGCAUGUGGUUUAAUUCGACGCAACGCGAAGAACCUUACCAAGUCUUGACAUAUUUUAGAAGCAAUUAGAGAUAAUUGCCUAUAUCUUCGGAUAACUAAAAUACAGGUGGUGCAUGGUUGUCGUCAGCUCGUGUCGUGAGAUGUUGGGUUAAGUCCCAUAACGAGCGCAACCCCUAUUGCUAGUUACCAUCAUUAAGUUGGGGACUCUAGUAAUACUGCCGGUGACAAACCGGAGGAAGGUGGGGAUGACGUCAAAUCAUCAUGCCCUUUAUGACUUGGGCUACACACGUGCUACAAUGGCAGGUACACAGGGAAGCAAGACUGUGAAGUUAAGCAAAACUCAAAAAGCCUGUCCCAGUUCGGAUUGCACUCUGCAACUCGAGUGCAUGAAGUUGGAGUUGCUAGUAAUCGCAGAUCAGAAUGCUGCGGUGAAUGCGUUCCCGGGUCU